GGCGGACGGGUGAGUAACACGUGAGCAACCUGCCUAUCAGAGGGGGAUAACGAUUGGAAACGAUCGCUAAUACCGCAUGACAUAGCGGAAUUGCAUGGUUCUGUUAUCAAAGAUUUUAUCGCUGAUAGAUGGGCUCGCGUCCGAUUAGAUAGUUGGUGGGGUAACGGCCUACCAAGUCGACGAUCGGUAGCCGGACUGAGAGGUCGAACGGCCACAUUGGGACUGAGACACGGCCCAGACUCCUACGGGAGGCAGCAGUGGGGGAUAUUGCACAAUGGGGGAAACCCUGAUGCAGCGACGCCGCGUGAGGGAAGACGGUCCUCUGGAUUGUAAACCUCUGUCUUCGGGGACGAAACGAGACGGUACCCGAGGAGGAAGCCACGGCUAACUACGUGCCAGCAGCCGCGGUAAUACGUAGGUGGCAAGCGUUGUCCGGAAUUACUGGGUGUAAAGGGAGCGUAGGCGGGCAGGCAAGUCAGGCGUGAAAUAUAUCGGCUCAACCGGUAACGGCGCUCGAAACUGCAGGUCUUGAGUGAAGUA
rnacentral:rRNA from 1 species